rnacentral:rRNA from 1 species
UACGUACUGUGCGAACGUUAUUCGGAAUCACUGGGCUUAAAGGGUGCGUAGGCGGCCAAUUAAGUAGGGUGUGAAAGGCUUCGGCUCAACCGGAGCAUUGCGCUCUAGACUGCUUGGCUCGAGUGAGAUAGGGGUGUGCGGAACUUCCAGUGGAGCGGUGAAAUGUGUUGAUAUUGGAAGGAACGCCGGUGGCGAAAGCGGCACACUGGGUCUUAACUGACGCUGAGGCACGAAAGCCAGGGGAGCGAACGGG